UACGUAGGGGGCGAGCGUUGUCCGGAAUUAUUGGGCGUAAAGAGCGUGUAGGCGGUUCGGUAAGUCUGCCGUGAAAACCUGGGGCUCAACCCCGGGCGUGCGGUGGAUACUGCCGGGCUAGAGGGUGGUAGAGGCGAGUGGAAUUCCCGGUGUAGCGGUGAAAUGCGCAGAUAUCAGGAGGAACACCGGUGGCGAAGGCGGGUCUCUGGGCCGAUACUGACGCUGAGGAGCGAAAGCGUGGGGAGCGAACAGG
rnacentral:rRNA from 1 species